rnacentral:rRNA from 1 species
CCCGCUGAACUUAAGCAUAUCAUUGAGCGGAGGACAAGAAAACAACUGUGAUUCCCUGAGUAACUGCGAGUGAACAGGGAAAAGCCUAUGCUUGAAUCCGGUGUGGAUGGAAUCGGAAACACCGGAAUUGUAGUGCAAGGGUGUGGGGCGAGAUGGUCGCAGUCGGAAGAAUCGCUCAGGAACGAGCAACCAAAGAGGGCUAUCGUCCCGUAUCUCGUCCGACGCGCGGCUGUCUCACAUGCCUCGCUUCCCAAGAGUCGGGCAGUUUGAGAGUGCUGUCCAAAUCCGCAGGUGUACUCCUGCGAAGGCUAAAUAUUUCACCAAGACCGAUAGCGAACAAGUAGUGUGAACGAAAGAUGAAAAGUACUUUGAAAAGAGAGUGAAAAGUCCUUGACAUUGUUGGGCGCAAAGGGUAUGAGACCCAUUGUACGCUUCUGCUUCCAGUGGGGGCCGUCAAUGCGGGUUCCUGUCUUCUGCAGGGUGGGAUCUGCUUCGACGCUUCGGCGCCGAAGAGGCCCACGCCGUUGCAGAAAGGCGGAGACCUGGCAGAGUCCGCGCAGCCGGAACGCGUCGAUUUUGGGCGUGCUUGCCCCGUUGAAGCAUCCUCUCUCGUGGGGGGUCUUGAUAAGGUGCGCACGUCCACCGACUCGCGCCGAGCUGUCGGAAUCAUUGACCAUCUAAUGGUCUCUUACCACCCGUCUUGAAACACGG